AAACUUGGAAGAAAAGACGUUGUUCAGUAUCUUGUGAGCAAUGUUCCUAGAGAUUCUUUGGACUUGCAAAAUGAAGAAAAGUAAGAAAUAUUUUGUUGGGUUAGUUGGUAAAAUAAUAAUUACAGGGCUCAGACAGCACUCCAUAAGGCAGCUUGGUAUGGAUAUAGAGGAAUCUGCAAGAUCCUUGUUGACGUCAGAGCUUCUUCAUUGAGAACUGAUUAUCAGGCUAAUACUCCUUACCUUAAAUCAAUUGAAAGUGAAGAUCCCAAAUUGAAAGAGUACUUGCAACGAAAAGAAAGAGAGGAAAAGAUUAGAUAUGAAAUUGAAGAAGUUGAAGAAGUGGCCGUUUAAUAGAAAAUUUGACUUUAAAUACAAUAUUGUUA